UAUGCACCAGCAGUUUUGGUUAUUUAAGUCUGUCAAAAGUUAACAUUUUUAGUUUCUUAUCAAAUAUUUAUCGAACUCUGUCUAUUAGAUUUGACAAGAAUUAUGAGACAAAAAAAUUAGCGGGAACUUAUAUUUAGAAGUACAAUUUUUGUAGUAUCUAUUAUUUAUGGUUUAUUUCUAAAGUUUGGUGUAAUUUUUUGAGGUGCAACUUAUGCUACUUUUUAUACCUUUUUAGUGUCUAGUGCAGCUUCUUGUACUGUAUAUUUUAGGAUUUGAUGAGAUUUUCUCGGUAUUUAUGAUUAAAUCUUCUUUUCUACUGUUUCCUUCAAAUUUUACGAACAUAAAUUGUUAAGCACUUAACGGAAACAAAAAGUAUCAACUUUUGCAAAAUUCAAGGACCAAAACUACUUUGUGCAUAUUUAAGGGACUAUUUUGAACCUAUUCUCAGUAAUAAGGGACCAAUUUUGUCAUGUUCUCUUCAAUCCAACGUCUCAGCAACUUGUUAUUGUAAUAUUAAGUUUUAGCGUGUUGACCUUUAAGCAUAGUAAGUUUUUAACGCAAAGGGACCACUCUUUUACAAGUCAAGAAUGAUUCUUAAUUGGCAACUAAACAAUUUGCAACUCAGCAACCAUUGUUAGAGACUGUUGUUUCUCUUCCCAGGAGAGAAUGACUCACAAACUUAUUUUGUUUCUUCAUCUAAUUUUCUCUAGAGUAGCUGUGGGACAACUAGCAACAAACCAAGAUCAAUGCUCGCCAACAAGAUGUGGCUGUUUACCUUUGAUCAAUACGCAUAUGGUGGCUUCACUUUAUUCAAUUGUUCCUCAAACAAAACGUACUCAUCAUCUUCUGGUCGUAUCGUUUGCCUUAGCGGCUCUCAUUAUGACGUCCUUGCUUUUCGCUCUUACUGUAGUAUCUCUGAGUUUCCGUCUUCUUGUACAAAGAUGUAAAACAUUUCAGAUGUUCCAGACGAGGUACUUUUUGGGCCACCAGAAUUUAGUCAAACACAGAUUCAUCUGCAUUGUUCUGAACCAAUUUUUGGGAAUUGUGAAGACGAUGGAAAGUACUGCAAGUUGAAAUCUAAUAGCUCAGGGCUGUCAAGGAAAGUUACUGUUGCCAUUGUAUUAGGUAGCGUGUUUUCCUUUGUAUUGAUCGUUCUGGCAGUCUACACGAUUGUCAAAUUGAAAUUAAAGAAAGCGGAUCAGAAGAGGGUUGAGGCGUUUUUGGAGGAUUAUAAAGCUCUGAGACCUGCAAGAUACAGUUAUGCAAAUAUUAAGAAGAUCACAGAGCAAUUCAAAUAUAAUCUAGGCCAAGGAGGCUAUGGGAAAGUAUACAAAGGGAAGCUUUCAAAUGAAAUUCUUGUCGCGGCUAAGGUCCUUAACAAUUUCAAGGGUGAAGGAGAAGAUUUUAUUAAUGAAGUGGGCAGCAUAGGUAGAAUUCACCAAGUGAACGUUGUGCGCUUAGUAGGAUAUUGUGCUGAUGGAUACAGAUGAGCUCUUGUAUAUGAAUACUA